GGGGAAUAUUGCACGAUGGGCGCAAGCCUGAUGCAGCGACGCCGCGUGGGGGAUGAAGGCCUUCGGGUUGUAAACUCCUUUCGCUAGGGACGAAGCUUUGUUGUGACGGUACCUAGAUAAGAAGCACCGGCUAACUACGUGCCAGCAGCCGCGGUAAUACGUAGGGUGCGAGCGUUGUCCGGAAUUACUGGGCGUAAAGGGCUCGUAGGUGGUUUGUCGCGUCGUCUGUGAAAUUCUGGGGCUUAACUCCGGGCGUGCAGGCGAUACGGGCAUAACUUGAGUGCUGUAGGGGUAACUGGAAUUCCUGGUGUAGCGGUGAAAUGCGCAGAUAUCAGGAGGAACACCGAUGGCGAAGGCAGGUUACUGGGCAGUUACUGACGCUGAGGAGCGAAAGCAUGGGUAGCGAACAGGAUUAGAUACCCUGGUAGUCCAUGCCGUAAACGGUGGGCGCUAGGUGUGAGGGUCUUUCUACGACUUUCGUGCCGUAGCUAACGCAUUAAGCGCCCCGCCUGGGGAGUACGGCCGCAAGGCUA
rnacentral:rRNA from 1 species